rnacentral:rRNA from 1 species
UACGUAGGGUGCAAGCGUUGUCCGGAAUUAUUGGGCGUAAAGAGCUCGUAGGCGGUUUGUCGCGUCUGCUGUGAAAACUCGGGGCUCAACUCCGAGCUUGCAGUGGGUACGGGCAGACUAGAGUGCGGUAGGGGAGACUGGAAUUCCUGGUGUAGCGGUGGAAUGCGCAGAUAUCAGGAGGAACACCGGUGGCGAAGGCGGGUCUCUGGGCCUUACCUGACGCUGAGGAGCGAAAGCGUGGGGAGCGAACAGG